UAAUACGGAGGGUGCGAGCGUUAAUCGGAAUUACUGGGCGUAAAGCGCACGUAGGCGGUCGUGUAAGUCGGAUGUGAAAGCCCUGGGCUUAACCUGGGAACUGCAUUCGAUACUGCAUGGCUAGAGUAUGGGAGAGGGAAGCGGAAUUUCCGGUGUAGCGGUGAAAUGCGUAGAUAUCGGAAGGAACACCAAUGGCGAAGGCAGCUUCCUGGCCCAAUACUGACGCUCAGGUGCGAAAGCGUGGGGAUCAAACAGGAUUAGAUACCCUGGUAGUCCACGCUGUAAACGAUGAGAACUAGAUGUUGGGAGGGUUUUGCCUCUCAGUGUCGCAGCUAACGCGCUAAGUUCUCCGCCUGGGGAGUACGGCCGCAAGGUUG
rnacentral:rRNA from 1 species